rnacentral:rRNA from 1 species
CCCUUAGAGUUUGAUCCUGGCUCAGGACGAACGCUGGCGGCGCGCCUAACACAUGCAAGUCGAACGAGAGAGAGGGAGCUUGCUUCCUCAAUCGAGUGGCGAACGGGUGAGUAACGCGUGAGGAACCUGCCUCAAAGAGGGGGACAACAGUUGGAAACGACUGCUAAUACCGCAUAAGCCCACAGGUCGGCAUCGACCAGAGGGAAAAGGAGCAAUCCGCUUUGAGAUGGCCUCGCGUCCGAUUAGCUAGUUGGUGAGGUAACGGCCCACCAAGGCAACGAUCGGUAGCCGGACUGAGAGGUUGAACGGCCACAUUGGGACUGAGACACGGCCCAGACUCCUACGGGAGGCAGCAGUGGGGAAUAUUGCACAAUGGGGGAAACCCUGAUGCAGCGACGCCGCGUGGAGGAAGAAGGUCUUCGGAUUGUAAACUCCUGUUGUUGAGGAAGAUAAUGACGGUACUCAACAAGGAAGUGACGCUAACUCUGC